UACGUAGGUCGCAAGCGUUGUCCGGAUUUACUGGGCGUAAAGAGCGCGCAGGCGGCUGGUCAAGUCCGAUGUGAAAUCUCCCGGCUCAACUGGGAAACUGCAUCGGAAACUGAUCGGCUUGAAGAUGGGAGAGGGUAGUGGAAUUCCCGGUGUAGUGGUGAAAUGCGUAGAUAUCGGGAGGAACACCAGUGGCGAAGGCGACUACCUGGCCCAUUCUUGACGCUGAGGCGCGAAAGCUAGGGGAGCGAACGGGAUUAGAUACCCCGGUAGUCCUAGCCGUAAACGAUGAACACUAGGCGUAGUCGGUAUCGACCCCGGCUGUGCCGUAGCUAACGCAUUAAGUGUUCCGCCUGGGGAGUACGGCCGCAAGGCUAAA
rnacentral:rRNA from 1 species